AGUCGCGUGGUCUAAUGGUUAUGAUUUCUCGUUCACAGCAUGUGAGAUUCGUCUCGAGCGCCGAGAAGGUUCCCGGUUCGAUACCGGGCGCGACUA